AUGAUAGAGGCGCACUAUGUCAUAAGUACCGUGCUUUAUACAGUUGCCGAAACUGCACGCGAAAGGGGCAGGUGCCGAAGCCGGUGUUGUGGCAUACACCUUGCUGGCAACUCAGAUAACAUCUGUUUUGCUGUCGCAGUAAUGCGGAGUGCUAUUC
rnacentral:ncRNA from 1 species